rfam:Ailuropoda melanoleuca scaffold113_207, whole genome shotgun sequence.
ACCUGGCUGGCUCAGUCGGUAGAGCAUGCAACUCUUGAUCUCGGGGUUGUGAGUUCGAGCCUCAUGUUGGAUA